UACUUUAAUUAUAAUUAUGAAUAUCUCAGUGAAGAUGGGUUGAUACUCUGCUGAGACAGUUUGUACAUAGCGAAUGUGUAUAGAAAGAUAUUUUUAUAUGCAAGUCGUAUUUUAGUUGGAGACAGCUAAAAUAGAGAGAAAAAUUCUCGAUUAUAAAAACUGGUGCCAAGAGUUAACGCUUUGAAAGGUAUAGAACUUGUGGUUGGCGUAAUAGACGUUCCAGUGGAAAAUAAGCCUUAGACAGUUAUGGGGGCAUAGCAAGUUAAUAAGGUAAUCCCAAAACAAGCCAAUUUGUCUUGAUGUUUUAGAAAUGAAACUAUAACACAAGUCGCUAGUAAAAGUAGCCUUAUGACAGGAUGAAGAUUAUUCUAUUACAUAAUUGGUGUAAGAAAAUAAAAAGUGCUGAAUAUUGGGUGAAAUUUGUGAGUAGUCAUUCUCACAUAGGUAAAGUCGAAAGACGGGGUGUAAAGUCAAGGGUCGCUCCCGGAAACUCAGCUACAUCUCCCUAGUGACUGAAUAUCAAAGAAGUUGAUGGAGGUAAGGCGAAGGUCUAUUCAUAAUUAUAAUUAAGG
rnacentral:ncRNA from 1 species